rnacentral:rRNA from 1 species
GACGAACGCUGGCGGCGUGCUUAACACAUGCAAGUCGAGCGGUAAGGCUCCUUCGGGAGUACACGAGCGGCGAACGGGUGAGUAACACGUGAGCAACCUGCCCUUCUCAUCGGAAUAAGCGUUGGAAACGACGUCUAAUGCCGAAUAUGACUUCCUUUUGCAUGAUUGGAAGUGGAAAGCUCCGGCGGAGAAGGAUGGGCUCGCGGCCUAUCAGCUAGUUGGUGUGGGUAACGGCCCACCAAGGCGACGACGGGUAGCCGGCCUGAGAGGGUGACCGGCCACACUGGGACUGAGACACGGCCCAGACUCCUACGGGAGGCAGCAGUGGGGAAUAUUGGACAAUGGGCGAAAGCCUGAUCCAGCAACGCCGCGUGAGGGAUGACGGCCUUCGGGUUGUAAACCUCUUUCAGCGGGGACGAAGCGAAAGUGACGGUACCCGCAGAAGAAGGACCGGCCAACUACGUGCCAGCCGCCGCGGUAAGAC